CGCCGCUGAGGGCUUCUCUGCUGUCACUCUGAGGCUCCGUGGUUUGUGAGGUAACCUCUCAGAGGGUGAUUUAUGCCACGCAGAUGUUCGGGGAUGAGCUGGGGGUGCGGUGUGUGUGUGUGUGUGUGUGUGUGUGUGUUUGCGUGUGUGUGUGUGUGUGUGUUUGCGUGUUUGUGCGUGUGUGUGUGUGUGUGUGUGUGUGUGUGUGUGUGUGUGUGUGUGUGUGUGUGUGUGCAUGUGCGUGUGUGUGUGUGUGCAUGUGCGUGUGCGUGUGUGUGUGUGCGUGUCUGUGUGCUGAGUGCAGCGCUGUUAGCGGCGAUGCGACGCUGCGGAGGGGAAACUCUCCAGGUCCCACGGUGUCGUAAUGAAAAGAGGCUUUCAGCGCUCUCUUUUUCUUCUCCUGGAGAAUCCAGGAGAAGAGUGAUCCAUUCCCAUCACUCAGAGGAGGCAGUUUUCCCCUUUUUCUCCAGCGCUGUUCCGUUGCCGUUGCUUGGACGUGGCGGCAGCCUCGCUCUCCUACAUUAUUUAUAACUGCGCUGGAGCGGCUAAAUCACCAGUGUGAAUAACAUGACCUCAGCUGUCAUGUUCCAGGCCCGCUUUGAGUGGAAGCUCAGCUGGGAACAGGCUGUUUCUGAUAGCGGCUGAAUGCUGGAUGCUGGAUGCAGGAUGCUGGAUGCAGGAUGCUGGAUGCUGGAUGCAGGAUGCUGGAUGCAGGAUGCUGGAUGCAGGAUGCUGGAUGCUGGAUGCUGGAUGCAGGAUGCAGGAUGCAGGAUGCUGGAUGCUGGAUGCUGGAUGCAGGAUGCUGGAUGCUGGAUGCAGGAUGCUGGAUGCAGGAUGCUGGAUGCUGGAUGCAGGAUGCAGGAUGCAGGAUGCUGGAUGCAGGAUGCUGGAUGCUGGAUGCAGGAUGCAUCCGUCCUGGGACAUCAGCCUCUCAGCUGAUAGUGAGGGACGGCUCUCUUCAGCACCUGAUGAAUGGAGGUCUGAAAAAAAUGCACCGCAACACUCACAUGAGUCACUCAGCAUGUUUUUCAGUCAUCGCUCUCCGUGGAAUAACAAACCUCACUGAUUCCCAAGUUCCCUCUCUGUCAAUGUAGUGCAAAACAAGAGUUGAAGGGACGGAGCCAAACUGGCCCCAUGGCUGUUAGCAGUCGUUCAUAAACAUUAAAGAAGGAUAACACACGAGCACAUUGGAUUUCAGAUCAGCUUUCUCCUAUCAUUUGCUGUUAUCGGUCACCAGAUGAUAACUAAACCGCUGCUUUGUUGGCAACAGUUGCUCUUUCCAGUUUUCGAGUGUUGCAUUCGAACGCAUCUCGGAGAAAGAAGUGGAGGCAGGAAGCAGCAGGUAGAAGACAGGAGGCAGAAACCUCCGGGGCCCGAGGAGCUGCAGCGUCUCGUUAAAGCCGGCAUCGAACAACAGCUCAUAAUUGGGCUCUUCACAAACCAAAGCCAAAUCCUUUACUGGCUGUUUCGAAUUAUUGGGAGGAGUGGAACUCCUACUUCUUUAUUUACCGCUCUGGGUUUUCGCGGCCCCGUUGCUCAGACGCACAUCGGAUGCUCUUAGUUAAACAGGCUUUGAUCAGGAUUUUUAAUUCCUCUGGACGGUUUGUUGUUUUUAUUGGUGUUAGGAGGAGGAUUCUGGGAUUUAACUGUGACAACAUUAAUAAAGGAAAAUGUUGAUAAUGAGUUAAGGUAUUU
ensembl:lncRNA